UACGUAGGGUGCAAGCGUUGUCCGGAAUUAUUGGGCGUAAAGAGCUCGUAGGCGGUCUGUCGCGUCGGCUGUGAAAACCCGGGGCUCAACCCCGGGCCUGCAGUCGAUACGGGCAGACUAGAGUGCGGUAGGGGUGACUGGAAUUCCUGGUGUAGCGGUGGAAUGCGCAGAUAUCAGGAGGAACACCGAUGGCGAAGGCAGGUCACUGGGCCGCAACUGACGCUGAGGAGCGAAAGCAUGGGGAGCGAACAGG
rnacentral:rRNA from 1 species